rnacentral:sRNA from 1 species
AUAUCUCUCCGUACGGGAAGGAUGAGAAGCUUCGACUAAGGUUCGAUUCGAGCGCAGCGAGAAAGCGUUGCCGCAGGCAACGACCCGAAGGGCGAAGC